UACGUAGGGAGCAAGCGUUGUCCGGAAUCAUUGGGCGUAAAGCGCGCGUAGGCGGCCUCAUAAGUCCGUUGUGAAAGUCAAAGGCUCAACCUUUGAUAGCCGAUGGAUACUGUGAGGCUAGAGUCCGGAAGAGGCGAGUGGAAUUCCUGGUGUAGCGGUGGAAUGCGCAGAUAUCAGGAGGAACACCAAUAGCGAAGGCAGCUCGCUGGGACGGUACUGACGCUAAGGCGCGAAAGCGUGGGGAGCGAACAGG
rnacentral:rRNA from 1 species